UAUUUUCUGUUGUGUUGUAGAUUUCUUCAAGAACCAGUUUUGUCUGCAGUGUGGUAGUUCUUCAUAGCAUAGCUCCUCGAGAUUUGAUUAAUUUAUCUCUAUUGAAUUCUAUCUUUCCCAUGAUUGUAUUCUAUAUCGUUGGUGGUUUUGGUUUUUGCUUCUGAAUUUUUCUUUUCUUGAUUUGUUAAACCUAAUCAAGUUGUUUUCCAUCUUUGCUGGUUUCAAUCUCGGAGUUUAUUGUACCUUC
rnacentral:lncRNA from 1 species